GCAGGUGUUGGUACACACUGUGUCAUGCUGGUAGAAGUCAAUCUGACCUGAGUCCAUCAUUUUCCUGCAUAGAGGACAUAAGAGAAGAUUUGGGAGAAGGAGAAUGGGAUGAAGGCAGCAGACUAAACCCCAGAUGGACAGAGAACAAGUGCAAACACGAAGAUGGGUAGGAGGCAGCCUAUCUGAGCAUCACCCCUACCUGAGCAUCACCCCUCCCAAUCGGAUGGCCCUCUUCCAGUCCUUCAGCGUGGCUUUC